UCCUAUACUUCAUGAAAUAUUUCAUCCUGUUUGAUUAUUAUGAAUUUUGCCAUGUUCUACGAACUAACGAGACAAUUAGUCCAGUUGUUUAUUGAAGGUUUAAAUAUUAGCUGUAGAGCGCCACAGCAAAGGGAAACUAAUGCUGAUAAACGGGUGAAAAACAACCCACUAAUAUUCUACUUUUCCUCGCUCUCUGUGUCGGUUUUACUCUACAAGCUUCAGUCUCGGUUCGGCUGAAGUGAACUGGCGACGUUCGAGUGCAGCUAGCCAAGAGGACCAGAGACCGCUCCAAAACCAGGAAAUGGACUACGGCGAAAGGCAUUCUGGAUUUACAAUUUCCACUUCAUCAAGACCAGUAAUCUCUUGGAAAGAUGGUGGGAAAGUUUAAGAACGGACAAAAGCUGCCAUGACGGGUCGAGUUACUGAACGCUUUUCUGCAGGAUUCAUGGCCUUCUUGUCACAGAAUAGAGGACACACGUCAUCUUAUUUAAGCUCACAUCUUCAGCUGCCCUCAUUUUCGCUCCCCUCGUCCCGGCGAUGGUGAGCUGUCCUCAGAUGACUUGCCUGUUUGAGCUUAGCGAGCGUCCGUCUGUGCUCUAGCCGGAGCCAGACAGAUGGUGACCACAGAGGGUAAGA